GAACGGGUGAGUAACACGUGUGUGAUCUGCCCUGCACUUUGGGAUAAGCCUGGGAAACUGGGUCUAAUACCGGAUAGGACUACGCACUGCAUGGUGUGUGGUGGAAAGCUUUUGCGGUGUGGGAUGGGCCCNNNNNCUAUCAGCUUGUUGGUGGGGUGAUGGCCUACCAAGGCGACGACGGGUAGCCGGCCUGAGAGGGUGACCGGCCACACUGGGACUGAGAUACGGCCCAGACUCCUACGGGAGGCAGCAGUGGGGAAUAUUGCACAAUGGGCGCAAGCCUGAUGCAGCGACGCCGCGUGAGGGAUGACGGCCUUCGGGUUGUAAACCUCUUUCGCCAGGGACGAAGCGCAAGUGACGGUACCUGGAGAAGAAGGACCGGCCAACUACGUGCCAGCAGCCGCGGUAAUACGUAGGGUCCGAGCGUUGUCCGGAAUUACUGGGCGUAAAGAGCUCGUAGGUGGUUUGUCGCGUUGUUCGUGAAAACUCACAGCUUAACUGUGGGCGUGCGGGCGAUACGGGCAGACUGGAGUACUGCAGGGGAGACUGGAAUUCCUGGUGUAGCGGUGGAAUGCGCAGAUAUCAGGAGGAACACCGGUGGCGAAGGCGGGUCUCUGGGCAGUAACUGACGCUGAGGAGCGAAAGCGUGGGGAGCGAACAGGAUUAGAUACCCUGGUAGUCCACGCCGUAAACGGUGGGUACUAGGUGUGGGUUUCCUUCCUUGGGAUCCGUGCCGUAGCUAACGCAUUAAGUACCCCGCCUGGGGAGUACGGCCGCAAGGCUAAAACUCAAAGGAAUUGACGGGGGCCCGCACAAGCGGCGGAGCAUGUGGAUUAAUUCGAUGCAACGCGAAGAACCUUACCUGGGUUUGACAUGCACAGGACGCCGGCAGAGAUGUCGGUUCCCUUGUGGCCUGUGUGCAGGUGGUGCAUGGCUGUCGUCAGCUCGUGUCGUGAGAUGUUGGGUUAAGUCCCGCAACGAGCGCAACCCUUGUCUCAUGUUGCCAGCACGUUAUGGUGGGGACUCGUGAGAGACUGCCGGGGUCAACUCGGAGGAAGGUGGGGAUGACGUCAAGUCAUCAUGCCCCUUAUGUCCAGGGCUUCACACAUGCUACAAUGGCCGGUACAAAGGGCUGCGAUGCCGUGAGGUGGAGCGAAUCCUUUCAAAGCCGGNNNCAGUUCGGAUCGGGGUCUGCAACUCGACCCCGUGAAGUCGGAGUCGCUAGUAAUCGCAGAUCAGCAACGCUGCGGUGAAUACGUUCCCGGGCCUUGACACACCGCCCGUCACGUCAUGAAAGUC
rnacentral:rRNA from 1 species